rnacentral:rRNA from 1 species
AAUCAACGCUGGCGGCGUGCCUAACACAUGCAAGUCGAGCGCCCGUAGCAAUACGGGAGCGGCAGACGGGAGAGUAACACGUGGGAACGUGCCCUUCAGUUCGGAACAACCCAGGGAAACUUGGGCUAAUACCGGAUACGUCCGUAAGGAGAAAGAUUUAUCGCUGAAGGAUCGGCCCACGUCUGAUUAGCUUGUUGGUGAGGUAACGGCUCACCAAGGCGACGAUCAGUAGCUGGUCUGAGAGGAUGAUCAGCCUCACUGGGACUGAGACACGGCCCAGACUCCUACGGGAGGCAGCAGUGGGGAAUUUUCCGCAAUGGGCGAAAGCCUGACGGAGCAAUACCGCGUGGAGGAUGACGGUCCUCGGGUUGUAAACUCCUUUUAAAUGGGAAGAUUAUGACGGUACCAUUUGAAUAAGCAUCGGCUAACUACGUGCCAGCAGCCGCAGUAA